GAAGCUGGAAUCGCUAGUAAUCGCGGAUCAGAAUGCCGCGGUGAAUACGUUCCCGGGUCUUGUACACACCGCCCGUCACACCAUGGGAGUCGGAAAUGCCCGAAGUCUGUGACCUAACCGCAAGGGAGGAGCAGCCGAAGGCAGGUCGGAUGACUGGGGUGAAGUCGUAACAAGGUAGC
rnacentral:rRNA from 1 species